GACGAACGCUGGCGGCGUGCUUAACACAUGCAAGUCACGGGGGCUCGCAAGAGCAACCGGCGAACGGGUGCGUAACACGUGAGCAACCUGCCGAUCCGCGGGGGAUAGCCGGCCCAACGGCCGGGUAAUACCGCAUACGUUCUCGAGGGGGAGUCCUCUUGAGAAGAAACCUCCGGGGCGGAUCGAGGGGCUCGCGGCCUAUCAGCUAGUUGGUGAGGUAACGGCUCACCAAGGCGACGACGGGUAGCUGGUCUGAGAGGAUGGCCAGCCACAUUGGGACUGAGAGACGGCCCAGACUCCUACGGGAGGCAGCAGUGGGAAUCUUGCGCAAUGGCCGAAAGGCUGACGCAGCGACGCCGCGUGUGGGAUGAAGCAUUUCGGUGUGUAACCACUGUGCCCGGGACGAACAGCUCUUUUCGAGGAGCCUGACGGUACCGGGUGAGGAAGCACCGGCUAACUCCGUGCCA
rnacentral:rRNA from 1 species